CUCGUAGGCGGCCAACUAAGUCGGACGUGAAAUCCCCAGGCUCAACCUGGGAACUGCGUCCGAUACUGGAUGGCUUGAAUCCGGGAGAGGGAUGCAGAAUUCCAGGUGUAGCGGUGAAAUGCGUAGAUAUCUGGAGGAAUACCGGUGGCGAAGGCGGCAUCCUGGACCGGCAUUGACGCUGAGGAGCGAAAGCCAGGGAGCAAAC
rnacentral:rRNA from 1 species